rnacentral:rRNA from 1 species
AAUGCCAGACUACAGGAACAAUAUCCGGCUCUAUAUAAUAUUGUUCGUCACAAGGGUGAUACUAUCUCCAUGGUUCUUGAAUCCUUUCCUCCAAAUGUGACGUUCAGACAAGAUUUAAUAGGCCCCAGACUUGCAUCAUGGAACGAUUUGAUAAAUCAUCUCGCCACGAUACAUUUAUCACAUGGCGUCGAUGAAUUUUGGUGGAAUCUAAAUGUGAGUGGUAAAUUCUUGGUAGAUCCAACGUAUAGAGCGUUGAUCCAGACAAAUGUUGGUGGGAAACGUAGUAGAAAACAAAAAAGAAGUUUGUCCUACAAACACAGUCCAGGAUCACUAUGA